rnacentral:sRNA from 1 species
GCCAGGUGUGGUUGUGUGCACCUAUAGUCCCAACUACAUGGGAGGCUGAGGCUGGAGGAUCACAUGAGCCCAGGAGGUCAAGACUGCAGUGAACCAUGAUUACACCACUGCAGUCUAGCCUGGGUGAAAAAGUGAGACCCUGUCUCAA